rnacentral:lncRNA from 1 species
CUUCUUAUCCUCCAUUCCACAGAUUAGGAAACUGACAUAGAGAAGGCAAAGGCAGUUGCCCAAGGUCACACAGCUCGUAACCGGAGGAGCCAGGCGUUAAACCCAUGCAGUGUGUGUGUCGAUAACCAUGCUACGCCACAGCCUAGCUGGCCGGUGCUGAUGGUUAUGGGUAAUUUCCAGAGAGUUAAGUAUAGCUCACUUUCUCUACUAUUCAGAGAGCAACUUCACAUCCAUUCGAAUUGAAUCGUUUUUUAAAAGACAUAAAUCAGUCAAAAAUAUUGACUCUUUCCUUGAUCAGUGAAGAACUCACUGUAUCAUAUAUUACUUUGGUCACGACAGACCAGUGGAGACAGAUUUAUAGAAGCUCAGAGAAGAUGGUUACUUCUGAAGGGCGGAUGCAUUCAGUUCCAGUCUUUGCAUCCCUGAUACCCGAGUAAAAUGCAGCUGAGAGGAGUCACCUAGUUGCCCCUCGGCCCUGAGCCAGUGUUUGGUGAUAUGACCCCUCUGCUCCCCAAGCCUCAUGCCAAGUCAGCCACACUCAACACACCAUCAUCACAGGCCCCUGUGGAAAUGCGCAGAUUGCAGCCAUAGGAAGCCAUGCGGCUGUGUAAUUAUUCAGGUGAGUAGCCUAGAGCCUCUUCUCACAUGCAAAUGGUGG